rnacentral:lncRNA from 1 species
AAUUAAAGUACUCAUUAGGUUUGGGUUUAAAUAGAAUACGUGUAGAAAUUAUUGAUAAAAAGCCCCAACUAACAGGCCUAAAGCUAUGAUCUGCAAACAAUUUUUGGUCAGUUUUUGUUGAAUCAAUUUCUAAGCUAAAAUUAACUGCAAACACCCAACACGGAUAAUCCUUAGAAGAUCAAUUAUAUUGAGAGUUUUCUAAGUGCAAAAGCCUAAAUAGAUAUUCGAAUUAAAUGAUUUUAAUUGUUAUAAAGUCAAAUUGUUUCCC